AGCAAUUGUGUGUGUGUCUUUGAUUUGUAACAAAGCUUUACAGACAAGUGCAAGCAGUAAAUUAUCUUUUACAACCUAGAACUCAUUGUUGAGUAUGAGUUUUUGGUACACAUAAGAAGGAAUAUG